AGUGUAGGCGGCUUCGUAAGUCGGAUGUGAAAGCCCUGGGCUUAACCUGGGAAUUGCAUUCGAUACUGCGCGGCUAGAGUCUGAUAGAGGGAAGUGGAAUUCCAGGUGUAGCGGUGAAAUGCGUAGAGAUCUGGGGGAACACCAGUGGCGAAGGCGGCUUCCUGGAUCAAGACUGACGCUGAGGCUCGAAAGCGUGGGGAGCAAACA
rnacentral:rRNA from 1 species